rnacentral:rRNA from 1 species
UACGUAGGGGGCGAGCGUUGUCCGGAAUUAUUGGGCGUAAAGAGCUCGUAGGCGGUUUGUCGCGUCGGCCGUGAAAUCUCCACGCUUAACGUGGAGCGUGCGGUCGAUACGGGCAGACUUGAGUUCGGUAGGGGAGACUGGAAUUCCUGGUGUAGCGGUGAAAUGCGCAGAUAUCAGGAAGAACACCAACGGCGAAGGCAGCUCGCUGGGACGGUACUGACGCUGAGACGCGAAAGCGUGGGGAGCGAACAGG